rnacentral:rRNA from 1 species
AUGGCCUUCGAGGCGGCGAAGGUGCCGGUGCCGCAGUCGGUGAACUUCAAGAGGAAGAGGGGAGAGCUCUGGGUCGCCGCGAAGAAGAAGAAGGUCGCCGACGAGAAGAAGAAGGACGCGGAGAACACCAAGGACAAGGAGCUGGUGCAACUUAAGCAUGAGGCCCGGAUGAAGGGUGGGUUCUAUGUCAGUCCCGAGGCAAAGCUGUUGUUUGUCGUCCGUAUCCGUGGUAUCAAUGCUAUGCACCCAAAGACCAAGAAGAUCUUGCAGCUUUUGCGUUUGAGGCAGCCUCAUAUACUGGAUGCUACUCGUUUACUGUUCAAGCCCAAUUACCCAACCGAUGCUAUAACGUAUUUUGGUCAUAAACAUCUUCGACCAUUCCAGAAGAAAGGUCGCUAUAGUCAGUUUUUGACGGCCAGCUUUUGA